GACAUACCUCUGGUGUACCAGUUGUCGUGCCAACGGCAUAGCUGGGUAGCUAUGUGUGGACGGGAUAAGUGCUGAAAGCAUCUAAGCAUGAAGCCCCCCUCAAGAUGAGAUUUCCCAACUUCGGUUAUAAGAUCCCUCAAAGAUGAUGAGGUUAAUAGGUUCGAGGUGGAAGCAUGGUGACAUGUGGAGCUGACGAAUACUAAUCGAUCGAAGACUUAAUCAAAUU
rnacentral:rRNA from 1 species